UGCUGAGACAGUUCAGAAGGAACAUCACCAGGAGCCACAGCAACAGCCAAGGAAGCUUAUAUGGAAGUAUUUUUGAUUUUCAUUUUCUUUCCCCUACCCCCUGCUGACUCUAACAUAACUAACCCUCACCUUCCCUUUCCCCCUCAUUUCAUCUUCCUGAAUUAAUUGCCAUUGUUUUCUGCUUUUUCAACUAAUUGUGUGGUACUGAUUUUUACCACUUGAAUUUUUGUGAUUUGUUGCAUUGUUUUGAAGUUUUACUAAUCUUCUGCCAGUUUUAUACUUUCAGGAACUCAGAAGAGGGACAACGAUGGAGGAGCAAGGUCGUCCAACAGAAAAAGACAAGACGACGAGUCCAUUUCUCAGCUAUAUACAGCAGUCAGCAUGGCCCAAAGUGCAGAAGAAAGUUGAGAUUGACCAGGAUGCUGAAGUGCGGAGAAGUACCUCUCCUAUUUAACAGCAUUCGAGAAAAGAAAGUACGUAAGCAGAGAUGCUGAGACAGUUCAGAAGGAACAUCACCAGGAGCCACAGCAACAGCCAAGGAAGCUUAUAUGGAAGUAUUUUUGAUUUUCAUUUUCUUUCCCCUACCCCCUGCUGACUCUAACAUAACUAACCCUCACCUUCCCUUUCCCCCUCAUUUCAUCUUCCUGAAUUAAUUGCCAUUGUUUUCUGCUUUUUCAACUAAUUGUGUGGUACUGAUUUUUACCACUUGAAUUUUUGUGAUUUGUUGCAUUGUUUUGAAGUUUUACUAAUCUUCUGCCAGUUUUAUACUUUCAGGAACUCAGAAGAGGGACAACGAUGGAGGAGCAAGGUCGUC